rnacentral:lncRNA from 1 species
GACCCCCAAGCCCAGAGUUCUUCCCUAAUGUGUUUUCAGCAACAACUCAGGAACCAGUUGUUCCGAGAGACCUGGUGUUGGGCAUGGAAAACUAGACACCAGAGAGCCACAAAAUGGCUCCCAUAACCCAUUCACCAGCUCGUUCUUCAGUGCUUCUGGGCCCUGUACUACACAACUGACAGGUCCUAGAUACUGGGCCCCCAGACCUGGGCCAGGCAUGCCAGGCACACUGCGUAAAGUCCAGCAAUUGAGAGAUGGAGACACCUAAAAUCACAUUUCACGGGCUGAUUGAAACUCAGAUGCUUGCCUAGCCACCCC